rnacentral:rRNA from 1 species
GUAGGGAAUCUUGCGCAAUGGGCGAAAGCCUGACGCAGCCAUGCCGCGUGAAUGAUGAAGGUCUUAGGAUUGUAAAAUUCUUUCACCGGGGACGAUAAUGACGGUACCCGGAGAAGAAGCUCCGGCUAACUUCGUGCCAGCAGCCGCGGUAAUACGAAGGGGGCUAGCGUUGCUCGGAAUUACUGGGCGUAAAGGGCGCGUAGGCGGAUAUUUAAGUCGGGGGUGAAAGCCCGGGGCUCAACCUCGGAAUAGCCUUCGAUACUGGAUAUCUUGAGUACGGGAGAGGUGUGUGGAACUCCGAGUGUAGAGGUGAAUUUCGUAGAUAUUCGGAAGAACACCAGUGGCGAAGGCGACACACUGGCCCGUUACUGACGCUGAGGCGCGAAAGCGUGGGGAGCAAACAGGAUUAGAAACCCGGGUAGUCC